AGCACAGAGGAGCUUGCUCCUCGGGUGACGAGUGGCGGACGGGUGAGUAAUGUCUGGGGAUCUGCCCGAUAGAGGGGGAUAACCACUGGAAACGGUGGCUAAUACCGCAUAACGUCGCAAGACCAAAGAGGGGGACCUUCGGGCCUCUCACUAUCGGAUGAACCCAGAUGGGAUUAGCUAGUAGGCGGGGUAAUGGCCCACCUAGGCGACGAUCCCUAGCUGGUCUGAGAGGAUGACCAGCCACACUGGAACUGAGACACGGUCCAGACUCCUACGGGAGGCAGCAGUGGGGAAUAUUGCACAAUGGGCGCAAGCCUGAUGCAGCCAUGCCGCGUGUAUGAAGAAGGCCUUCGGGUUGUAAAGUACUUUCAGCGGGGAGGAAGGCGAUGUGGUUAAUAACCGCGUCGAUUGACGUUACCCGCAGAAGAAGCACCGGCUAACUCCGUGCCAGCAGCCGCGGUAAUACGGAGGGUGCAAGCGUUAAUCGGAAUUACUG
rnacentral:rRNA from 1 species